rnacentral:rRNA from 1 species
GAUGAACGCUGGCGGCGUGCUUAACACAUGCAAGUCGAACGAUGAAGCCCAGCUUGCUGGGUGGAUUAGUGGCGAACGGGUGAGUAACACGUGAGUAACCUGCCCUUAACUCUGGGAUAAGCCUGGGAAACUAGGUCUAAUACCGGAUAGGAGCGCCUACCGCAUGGUGGGUGUUGGAAAGAUUUAUCGGUUUUGGAUGGACUCGCGGCCUAUCAGCUUGUUGGUGAGGUAAUGGCUCACCAAGGCGACGACGGGUAGCCGGCCUGAGAGGGUGACCGGCCACACUGGGACUGAGACACGGCCCAGACUCCUACGGGAGGCAGCAGUGGGGAAUAUUGCACAAUGGGCGAAAGCCUGAUGCAGCGACGCCGCGUGAGGGAUGACGGCCUUCGGGUUGUAAACCUCUUUCAGUAGGGAAGAAGCGAAAGUGACGGUACCUGCAGAAGAAGCACCGGCUAACUACGUGCCAGCAGCCGCGGUAAUACGUAGGGUGCGAGCGUUAUCCGGAAUUAUUGGGCGUAAAGAGCUCGUAGGCGGUUUGUCGCGUCUGUCGUGAAAGUCCGGGGCUUAACCCCGGAUCUGCGGUGGGUACGGGCAGACUAGAGUGCAGUAGGGGAGACUGGAAUUCCUGGUGUAGCGGUGGAAUGCGCAGAUAUCAGGAGGAACACCGAUGGCGAAGGCAGGUCUCUGGGCUGUAACUGACGCUGAGGAGCGAAAGCAUGGGGAGCGAACAGGAUUAGAUACCCUGGUAGUCCAUGCCGUAAACGUUGGGCACUAGGUGUGGGGACCAUUCCACGGUUUCCGCGCCGCAGCUAACGCAUUAAGUGCCCCGCCUGGGGAGUACGGCCGCAAGGCUAAACUCAAAGGAAUUGACGGGGGCCCGCACAAGCGGCGGAGCAUGCGGAUUAAUUCGAUGCAACGCGAAGAACCUUACCAAGGCUUGACAUGUUCUCGAUCGCCGUAGAGAUACGGUUUCCCCUUUGGGGCGGGUUCACAGGUGGUGCAUGGUUGUCGUCAGCUCGUGUCGUGAGAUGUUGGGUUAAGUCCCGCAACGAGCGCAACCCUCGUUCCAUGUUGCCAGCACGUAAUGGUGAGGACUCAUGGGAGACUGCCGGGGUCAACUCGGAGGAAGGUGAGGGCGACGUCAAAUCAUCAUGCCCCUUAUGUCUUGGGCUUCACGCAUGCUACAAUGGCCGGUACAAUGGGUUGCGAUACUGUGAGGUGGAGCUAAUCCCAAAAAGCCGGUCUCAGUUCGGAUUGGGGUCUGCAACUCGACCCCAUGAAGUCGGAGUCGCUAGUAAUCGCAGAUCAGCAACGCUGCGGUGAAUACGUUCCCGGGCCU